rnacentral:tRNA from 2 species
GGCCGGUUAGCUCAGUUGGUUAGAGCGUGGUGCUAAUAACGCCAAGGUCGUGGGUUCGGUCCCCGUACGGGCCA